UACGAAGGGGGCUAGCGUUGCUCGGAAUCACUGGGCGUAAAGCGCACGUAGGCGGACUCUUAAGUCGGUGGUGAAAUCCCUCAGCUUAACUGGGGAACUGCGUCUGAGACUGGAUGGCUUGAGUGCAGGAGAGGAACGCGGAAUUCCAGGUGUAGCGGUGAAAUGCGUAGAUAUCUGGAGGAACACCGGUGGCGAAGGCGGCGUUCUGGACUGCUACUGACACUGAGGAACGAAAGCCAGGGGAGCAAACGGG
rnacentral:rRNA from 1 species